rnacentral:rRNA from 1 species
AACGAACGCUGGCGGCAGGCUUAACACAUGCAAGUCGAACGCACCUUUCGGGGUGAGUGGCAGACGGGUGAGUAACGCGUGGGAAUCUACCCUUCUCUACGGGAUAGCUCCGGGAAACUGGAAUUAAUACCGUAUACGUCCUGAGGGAGAAAGAUUUAUCGGGGAGGGAUGAGCCCGCGUUGGAUUAGCUAGUUGGUGGGGUAAAGGCCUACCAAGGCGACGAUCCAUAGCUGGUCUAAGAGGAUGAUCAGCCACAUUGGGUCUGAGACACGGCCCAAACUCCUACGGGAGGCAGCAGUGGGGAAUAUUGGACAAUGGGCGCAAGCCUGAUCCAGCCAUGCCGCGUGAGUGAUGAAGGCCCUAGGGUUGUAAAGCUCUUUCAGUGGGGACGAUAAUGACGGUACCCACAGAAGAAGCCCCGGCUAACUUCGUGCCAGCCGCCGCGUAA